rnacentral:rRNA from 1 species
AUUGAACGCUGGCGGCAGGCCUAACACAUGCAAGUCGAACGAGUGGCGGACGGGUGGGUAAUGUCGGGGAAACUGCCUGAUGGAGGGGGAUAACUACUGGAACCGGUGGCUAAUACCGCAUAACAUCCGAUGUGCCCAGAUUGGAUUAGCUAGUUGGUGUGGUAACGGCUCACCAAGGCGACGAUCCCUAGCUGGUCUGAGAGGAUGACCAGCCACACUGGAACUGAGACACGGUCCAGACUCCUACGGGAGGCAGCAGUGGGGAAUAUUGCACAAUGGGCGCAAGCCUGAUGCAGCCAUGCCGCGUGUAUGAAGAAGGCCUUCGGGUUGUAAAGUACUUUCAGCGGGGAGGCGGUAUCCGCAGAAGAAGCAACGGCUAACUCCGUGCCAGCAGCCGCGGUAAUAC